rnacentral:rRNA from 1 species
AUGAACGCUGGCGGCGUGCCUAAUACAUGCAAGUCGAGCGAACGGACGAGAAGCUUGCUUCUCUGAUGUUAGCGGCGGACGGGUGAGUAACACGUGGAUAACCUACCUAUAAGACUGGGAUAACUUCGGGAAACCGGAGCUAAUACCGGAUAAUAUUUUGAACCGCAUGGUUCAAAAGUGAAAGACGGUCUUGCUGUCACUUAUAGAUGGAUCCGCGCUGCAUUAGCUAGUUGGUAAGGUAACGGCUUACCAAGGCAACGAUGCAUAGCCGACCUGAGAGGGUGAUCGGCCACACUGGAACUGAGACACGGUCCAGACUCCUACGGGAGGCAGCAGUAGGGAAUCUUCCGCAAUGGGCGAAAGCCUGACGGAGCAACGCCGCGUGAGUGAUGAAGGUCUUCGGAUCGUAAAACUCUGUUAUUAGGGAAGAACAUAUGUGUAAGUAACUGUGCACAUCUUGAGGGUACCUAAUCAGAAAGCCACGGCUAACUACGUG